rnacentral:rRNA from 1 species
UACGGGGGGAGCAAGCGUUGUUCGGAUUUACUGGGCGUAAAGGGCGCGUAGGCGGUAGCACAAGUCAGUUGUGAAAUCUCCGGGCUUAACUCGGAAAGGUCAACUGAUACUGUGCGACUAGAGUGCAGAAGGGGCAACUGGAAUUCUCGGUGUAGCGGUGAAAUGCGUAGAUAUCGAGAGGAACACCUGCGGCGAAGGCGGUUCUCUGGGACGGUACUGACGCUGAGACGCGAAAGCGUGGGGAGCGAACAGG